rnacentral:rRNA from 1 species
AACGAACGCUGGCGGCAUGCCUAACACAUGCAAGUCGAACGAGACCUUCGGGUCUAGUGGCGCACGGGUGCGUAACGCGUGGGAACCUGCCCUUAGGUUCGGAAUAACUCCCCGAAAGGGGUGCUAAUACCGGAUAAUGUCUUCGGACCAAAGAUUUAUCGCCUUUGGAUGGGCCCGCGUUGGAUUAGCUCGUUGGUAGGGUAAAAGCCUACCAAGGCGACGAUCCAUAGCUGGUCUGAGAGGAUGAGCAGCCACACUGGGACUGAGACACGGCCCAGACUCCUACGGGAGGCAGCAGUGGGGAAUAUUGGACAAUGGGCGAAAGCCUGAUCCAGCAAUGCCGCGUGAGUGAUGAAGGCCUUAGGGUUGUAAAGCUCUUUUACCCGGGAUGAUAAUGACAGUACCGGGAGAAUAAGCUCCGGCUAACUCCGUG